rnacentral:rRNA from 1 species
GUGGGGAAUCUUAGACAAUGGGCGCAAGCCUGAUCUAGCCAUGCCGCGUGAUCGAUGAAGGCCUUAGGGUUGUAAAGAUCUUUCAGUGGGGAAGAUAAUGACUGUACCCACAGAAGAAGCCCCGGCUAACUCCGUGCCAGCAGCCGCGGUAAUACGGCGGGGGCUAGCGUUGUUCGGAAUUACUGGGCGUAAAGCGCACGUAGGCGGAACAGAAAGUCAGAGGUGAAAUCCCAGGGCUCAACCUUGGAACUGCCUUUGAAACUCCUGUGCUUGAGUUCGAGAGAGGUGAGUGGAAUUCCGAGUGUAGAGGUGAAAUGCGUAGAUAUUCGGAGGAACACCAGUGGCGAAGGCGGCUCACUGGCUCGAUACUGACGCUGAGGUGCGAAAGCGUGGGGAGCAAACAGGAUUAGAAACCCUGGUAGUCC